CUUUCUCUCUCUAGCGGAUCCCGUCUCCUCCCCAGUACUUUGACUUGCGCCACCUCCCUCGAUCCACCGUCAUCGUCAUCCCCCCCAGGCAUCGAGCUCGAACCAAGUCAGUCCCCGCAAACCCUAACUCCAUCCCGAUUUCGUGAAUGAAAGCGGGUCCAUCGUGCGUCGCCAACCGCUACGUCAGCGAAUUCCGUGGUGGGUUUCGCGUGCUUGUUUGUAUUUGGGGGGGAGAGGGUGGUGAAGUUUUCGUUUUGCGUUGGCUGCAUUGUUUUCGAGGACUGGGGGGAGAAGUGGACUGAUGGAGCUGCUAGUGAAGAUGGUUGUAGUGAUUCUCACGUGGGUUUCGCGGCGUUUUGCUUGCAGGGCCGGUUGUGGUUCUGGAUUAGGGUUCGCGGGCUGGUUCGCGAGUUCGGUCGGAGGAGGAAGAAGGGUCGCUAUGCGAAGUGAGCGUAGAAAUCUGAAA